AAAAAAAAAUAAACAAAAUAAUAAACUAAGCAAACCUAAUCUUUGCCUGUUUAACAAAAACAUCUUCUGAAUUUAAUAUUUCAGGUAGAGCCUGCUCACUGAUUUAAAGAGCCGCAGUAUCCUAACUGUGCUAAGGUAGCAUAAUCAUUAGUUACUUAAUUUGUAACUAGAAUGAACGGCCUGACAAAAGAAUAACUUUAUUAUUUUUUGGUUAAAUUAAUCUAAGAAUAAAAAAGUUCUUAUAAAUUAGAAAGACGAUAAGACCCUAAAACCUUAUAUAUAAAUAUUUACUGGGGCGGUAACUUAUUCUCCAUAAGUUAAAAUAACAUAAUGAAUGAUAUUAUCUAUUUAAUUAAUUCAAAAAGGUACUUUAGGGAUAACAGCAUAAUUUUUAUUUAGAGUUCUUAUCGACAUAAAAGAUUAUGACCUCGAUGUUGAAUUGAUUUAACUAUUUUAGGCAGCCCUUAAAUUAGUAGGUCUGUUCGACCUUUAAAUGAUCACAUGAUUUGAGUUCAAACCGGCGUGAGCCAGGUUGGUUUCUAUCUUCUAUUUUUUGAUAACUUAGCUAGUACGUAAGGAUUUUUAAGUAUUAAUUUUUUU
rnacentral:rRNA from 1 species